AUGUUAGCAAAGAAGUGUUGGCGACUGAUCCAAGAUCCGGACUCUUUGUGUGCGCGUGUUCUCAGUGCAAAGUAUUACCCCGAUGGUAACAUUCUUAAUGCUGGCCCUAAGAAAUGCUCUUCUUAUACUUGGCAGAGUAUAGUAUCAGGAAUUCAAACAUUUAAGAGGGGGUUUAUUUGGAGAGUUGGGACAGGUUCUAAUAUCAAUAUUUGGCUGGACCCAUGGAUACCGUCAAGUGCCUCGCGCAAAGUUAUAACGCCGAGGGGGCGGGUUAUGUUGUCCAAAGUUGAAGAGCUCAUAGACCCGCACUCGGGCACAUGGGAUGAAGCCUUAUUGCAGUCCGUGUUUAAUCCAGUCGAUAUGGAAAGGAUACUAAGGAUCCCACUUAAUGUGAGUAUUGUUGACGAUUUUGUGGCAUGGCAGCUUACACGGUCAGGAACCUUCUCAGUCCGUUCAGCAUACCAUGCAGAGUUCAAUCAUCAGUUUGGCUCGCGCGUUUCUCCUGCUGAUGGACAAGGAGGGUCUGUAAUAAAUGGCAUUUGGAAACAUUCGUGGAAACUCCGAGUUCCUGGCAAGAUUAAGCAUUUCGCUUGGAAGGUGCUCAGGGGCAUUCUGCCAUGCUAUGGAGUCCUCGCGAAACGUCAUAUACCGGUAUCUGGUCAAUGCCCGGUUUGCAAAGUUGGGUUUGAAGAUAUUCAGCAUUGCUUAUUCUUGUGUUGUCGUGCUAUGGAAGUAUGGAAAGAAUUAGGCCUGAAUGAGGUGAUC
rnacentral:rRNA from 1 species